CUUCCGUAGGUGAACCUGCGGAGGGAUCAUUGCUGGAACGCGCCCCCGGCGCACCCAGAAACCCUUUGUGAACUUAUACCACUGUUGCCUCGGCGCAGGCCGGCCCCCCCAGCUGGGGCCCCCCGGAGACGGGGAGCAGCCCGCCGGCGGCCGACCAAACUCUUGUUUCUAUAGUGAAUCUCUGAGUAAAAAACAUAAAUGAAUCAAAACUUUCAACAACGGAUCUCUUGGUUCUGGCAUCGAUGAAGAACGCAGCGAAAUGCGAUAAGUAAUGUGAAUUGCAGAAUUCAGUGAAUCAUCGAAUCUUUGAACGCACAUUGCGCCCUCUGGUAUUCCGGAGGGCAUGCCUGUUCGAGCGUCAUUUCAACCCUCAAGCCUGGCUUGGUGAUGGGGCACUGCCUCCCUCAGGGGGGCAGGCCCUGAAAUCUAGUGGCGAGCUCGCCAGGACCCCGAGCGUAGUAGUUACACCUCGCUCCGGAAGGCCCUGGCGGUGCCCUGCCGUUAAACCCCCAACUUCUGAAAAUUUGACCUCGGAUCAGGUAGGAAUACCCGCUGAACUUAAGCAUAUCAAUAA
rnacentral:rRNA from 1 species